AGUUAAAGGUUAAGGAAGGGGAGGGGAAGGGGGGAGGGGGAUUAGGGAAUCUCUCUCUCUCAACCUCGCGCAGCGUUUUCUUCCGUUGUUCUCACCUUCACAGGCACUGCAACCGAACUUCAAAUGGUGGAGUCUUCAUCGCCGUUCAUCUCCGUUACCGGUCGUCGAAGGAAUCGUCGCUGUCGUUCGUGUGCCCAGUCAAUCGUGCGUCGUUUCUGUGCACAGAUCUGGUGCUUGUCGAACCCUCUAUUGCCUCUACAUCUUCUGUCGUAGGCCGCCUGAAGUUAUCUGCUGUCGAAAAUUGUCGCCUCAUUGUCGAGCCAGCUGCCACUUGGUUCUCUCAAGAAUUUUGAGAUUUGGAAGGUUGAAUUGGAGUUUUUGGGAGGUUUUAGAUCCGUUGUCCAGCAACUUCAACAGGCGAUUUUGGUGAUUCUGGUACUUUUGGGUGAGAUGUUGUUUGUCUUUUGUUUGGAUAUUUAUUUAAUCUCAAAUAUCCACUAAAUUUUUUGGGUGAGAUGUUGUUUGGCUUUUGUUUGGAUUUUUAUUUAAUCUCAAAUAUCUACUAAAUUUUGGCUU